rnacentral:rRNA from 1 species
UACAGGGGGGGCAAGCGUUGUUCGGAAUUACUGGGCGUAAAGGGCCAGUAGGCGGCCAACUAAGUCACACGUGAAAUCCCCAGGCUUAACCUGGGAACUGCGUGUGAUACUGGAUGGCUUGAAUUCGGGAGAGGGAUGCAGAAUUCCAGGUGUAGCGGUGAAAUGCGUAGAUAUCGGGAGGAACACCAGUGGCGAAGGCGGCGAUCUGGGAAGAUACUGACGCUGAGGUGCGAAAGCGUGGGGAGCAAACAGG